rnacentral:rRNA from 1 species
ACGGGAGGCAGCAGUGGGGAAUCUUGCGCAAUGGAGGAAACUCUGACGCAGCCACGCCGCGUGAGUGAAGAAGGCCUUCGGGUUGUAAAGCUCUGUCGCCCGGGACGAACAUUCUCGAGGUUAACAGCCUCGGGAACUGACGGUACCGGGAGAGGAAGCACCGGCUAACUCCGUGCCAGCAGCCGCGGUAAUACGGAGGGUGCAAGCGUUGCUCGGAAUUAUUGGGCGUAAAGGGCAGGUAGGUGGUCUCAUUUGUCUGGGGUGAAAGCCUUGAGCUUAACUCAAGAAGUGCCCCAGAAACGGUGAGACUUGAGUCCGAGAGAGGGUCGUGGAAUUCCCGGUGUAGCGGUGAAAUGCGUAGAGAUCGGGAGGAACACCAGAGGCGAAGGCGGCGACCUGGAUCGGCACUG